UUGUGGAAGUUGAGAAAGCAUCGUUCUCUUCCCCAUCAGCUUGAUUCAUUCUUCUCCUUCUCUUUUUCUCAAUUACUCAACUAAUUUAACUUAAAUCUUCCCCUAAUCAUUACCAUAGCCGAUUUAUUAAAGAAAUUUGAAGUAAAUAGAUUGUUUGCAAUCUUAUUUCCUCAUUUUAGGGUUUCGAAUUUUGAAGCUCAAGACCCGUCGACUGUUCGUACUUCAGAGGCGAACCAGAGUUAGAUUGCUUGUCAGGUUUCACGUGGAAUAGCAAGCAGUUUGUGAUUUGAGCAUUUGGUCGAUCUCCGAUUCUUCAUUCUCGGAGGUUCUUUAUUUAUUUCAGAAAUAAAAGAGUCGAACUGUUUUAAACUCUUAAACCGCAGUAGUAGUAUUAGUUUUUUUUUUAUGUCUUAGUCUUACACUUAUAUUUUUAGACUAUUGUUGGUUGGCAUGGUUCAACUAUUAUUUUAUCAGAUUUGGCAUGAUUAUAGUGAUUUGGUAUUAUAUAUUAUUGCCAUGCUGUUAGAUAUUAUUUUA